UACAGAGGUCCCAAGCGUUGUUCGGAUUCACUGGGCGUAAAGGGUGCGUAGGUGGUCGGGUAAGUCCGAGGUGAAAUCUCCAAGCUUAACUUGGAAACUGCCUUGGAUACUAUUCGGCUGGAGGGUUGGAGGGGGGACUGGAAUGCUUGGUGUAGCAGUGAAAUGCGUAGAUAUCAAGCGGAACACCAGUGGCGAAGGCGAGUCCCUGGACAGUUCCUGACGCUGAGGCACGAAGGUCAGGGGAGCAAACGGG
rnacentral:rRNA from 1 species